rnacentral:rRNA from 1 species
CCUACGGGUGGCAGCAGUGGGGAAUAUUGGACAAUGGGGGUAACCCUGAUCCAGCCAUGCCGCGUGUGUGAAGAAGGCCCUCGGGUUGUAAAGCACUUUCAGUGAGGAAGAACGCCUGGUGGUUAAUACCCAUCAGGAAAGACAUCACUCACAGAAGAAGCACCGGCUAACUCCGUGCCAGCAGCCGCGGUAAUACGGAGGGUGCGAGCGUUAAUCGGAAUUACUGGGCGUAAAGCGCGCGUAGGUGGCUUGAUAAGCCGGUUGUGAAAGCCCCGGGCUCAACCUGGGAACGGCAUCCGGAACUGUCAAGCUAGAGUGCAGGAGAGGAAGGUAGAAUUCCCGGUGUAGCGGUGAAAUGCGUAGAGAUCGGGAGGAAUACCAGUGGCGAAGGCGGCCUUCUGGACUGACACUGACACUGAGGUGCGAAAGCGUGGGUAGCAAACAGGAUUAGAUACCCCUGUAGUC